rnacentral:rRNA from 1 species
UACGUAGGGACCAAGCGUUGUUCGGAUUUACUGGGCGUAAAGGGCGCGUAGGCGGCAAUUCAAGUCAGCUGUGAAAUCUCCGAGCUUAACUCGGAACGGUCAGCUGAUACUGUUUUGCUAGAGUGCAGAAAGGGCAACCGGAAUUCUUGGUGUAGCGGUGAAAUGCGUAGAUAUCAAGAGGAACAACCUGAGGCGAAGGCGGGUUGCUAGGCUGACACUGACGCUGAGGCGCGAAAGCUAGGGUAGCAAACGGG